AGUGAACGCUGGCGGCAGGCCUAAUACAUGCAAGUCGAACGGCAGCACAGCAGAGCUUGCUCUGUGGGUGGCGAGUGGCGGACGGGUGAGGAAUACAUGGGAAUCUGCCCAGUCGUGGGGGAUAACGUAUGGAAACGUACGCUAAUACCGCAUGCGCCCUACGGGGGAAAGUCGGGGACCGCAAGGCCUGACGCGAUUGGAUGAGCCCAUGUUCGAUUAGCUAGUUGGCGGGGUAAAGGCCCACCAAGGCGACGAUCGAUAGCUGGUCUGAGAGGAUGAUCAGCCACACUGGAACUGAGACACGGUCCAGACUCCUACGGGAGGCAGCAGUAGGGAAUAUUGGACAAUGGGGGCAACCCUGAUCCAGCCAUGCCGCGUGAGUGAAGAAGGCCCUCGGGUUGUAAAGCUCUUUUGUCCGGAAAGAAAAGCAUCUGGUUAAUACCCGGGUGUUCUGACGGUACCGGAAGAAUAAGCACCGGC
rnacentral:rRNA from 1 species